rnacentral:rRNA from 1 species
AAGGGGAGCAAUCCCUGAGUAGAGUGGCAAACGGGUGAGUAACACGUGGGUGACCUGCCUUCGAGUGGGGGAUAACGUCCCGAAAGGGACGCUAAUACCGCAUAACAUCCUGCCUUUGAAGAGGCGGUGAUCAAAGCUGGGGAUCGCAAGACCUAGCACUCGAAGAGGGGCCCGCGUCCGAUUAGCUAGUUGGUGGGGUAAUGGCCCACCAAGGCAACGAUCGGUAGCCGGCCUGAGAGGGCGGACGGCCACACUGGGACUGAGACACGGCCCAGACUCCUACGGGAGGCAGCAGUGGGGAAUAUUGCGCAAUGGGCGAAAGCCUGACGCAGCAACGCCGCGUGAGUGAUGAAGGCCUUCGGG